rnacentral:misc_RNA from 1 species
GUGUUGGUUGUUGAUGGGAGUUGAAGGGAUGUGGAUGUUGUGGUGUUAUCUUGCCAACUGUAUCUUUUCUUCUUCUGUUUAAUAUUGAGCAGUAUAUAUAUGUUGUAUAAUUAUCAAUUCUUUCUUCUCGACCUCUUUACUAAACAAGGAGAAUGUACAUUACUCUUCAUCUUCCUCCAAUCCUUCAUUAAAACAUCCAAAUCAGACAGCCUUUUAUUUACUUUGCACUACCCCCCUUUCUCUCUUCCUUUUAGCAAUUGUUCACAUUCUCUUCAAACUCCUAAACACAGCAUGGAGAUAUUGUCAAAUAACAUAUAAUAUGUGGUGUUCAACUUGAUAUCAGUGGUUGACAUAUGCCAAGUGUUGGUUGGUUCUUUUGCAUUGCUAUUUCACUAUUUACUGCUCUGUGUUAACUUUUAUAUAUCCUUUAUUUUAUAUAACUUUCUUCUACAAAAUGUUAAACAAAUAUAGUUAAAGCAUAGAGUUUCUGCGACUUUUGGCAUUCUUUUCCAAAUGUUAAAGGGCAUUCAUUGAGUGCAUCAGGG